GGUUAAUCAACACAUCCCUUGAAGUUGGCCC
rnacentral:piRNA from 1 species